AGUUUGAUCCUGGCUCAGAAUCAACGCUGGCGGCGUGCCUCAGACAUGCAAGUCGAACGAGAAAGUUCCCUUCGGGGAACAAGUAAAGUGGCGCACGGGUGAGUAACACGUAGGUAAUCUACCUUCGGGUGGGGAAUAACCCAGGGAAACUUGGGCUAACACCGCAUAAUGCAGCGGCACCACAUGGUGACAGUUGUUAAAGCGGGGGAUUUUCGGACCUCGCGCCUGAAGAGGAGCCUGCGGCGGAUUAGCUAGUUGGUAAGGUAACGGCUUACCAAGGCGACGAUCCGUAGCCGGCCUGAGAGGGCGGUCGGCCACACUGACACUGACAUACGGGUCAGACUCCUACGGGAGGCAGCAGUCGGGAAUUUUGGGCAAUGGGCGAAAGCCUGACCCAGCAACGCCGCGUGAAGGAUGAAAUCCCUCGGGAUGUAAACUUCGCAAGAAUGGGAAGAAUAAGUAGGGGACAAUACCCCCUAUGAUGACGGUACCAUUUGUAAGCUCCGGCUAACUCCGUGCCAGCAGCCGCGGUAAUACGGGGGGAGCAAGCGUUGUUCGGAUUUACUGGGCGUAAAGGGCGCGUAGGCGGCCAGCGCAAGUCAGUUGUGAAAUCUCCGGGCUUAACUCGGAAAGGUCAACUGAUACUGCGCGGCUAGAGUGCAGAAGGGGCAACUGGAAUUCUCGGUGUAGCGGUGAAAUGCGUAGAUAUCGAGAGGAACACCUGCGGCGAAGGCGGGUUGCUGGGCUGACACUGACGCUGAGGCGCGAAAGCCAGGGGAGCGAACGGGAUUAGAUACCCCGGUAGUCCUGGCCUUAAACGAUGGAUGCUUGGUGUCUGGGGUUUUAUAGUCCCCGGGUGCCGCAGCUAACGC
rnacentral:rRNA from 1 species